UCUUAUCAAGAGCAGGCGGAGGGAAAAGCCCUAUGAAGCCCGGCAACCGACAGUUAUGCACGGUGCUAAUUCUUGCGGAAGCUUUAGUUUCUGGGAGAUGAGA
rnacentral:ncRNA from 1 species